rnacentral:rRNA from 1 species
CCACGGACCGCGAACC